AGAGUUUGAUCCUGGCUCAGAAUGAACGCUGGCGGCGUGCUUAACACAUGCAAGUCGAACGAAGCACCUUGAUUUGAUUCUUCGGAUGAAGAUCUUGGUGACUGAGUGGCGGACGGGUGAGUAACGCGUGGGUAACCUGCCUCAUACAGGGGGAUAACAGUUAGAAAUGACUGCUAAUACCGCAUAAGACCACAGCACCGCAUGGUGCAGGGGUAAAAACUCCGGUGGUAUGAGAUGGACCCGCGUCUGAUUAGGUAGUUGGUGGGGUAACGGCCUACCAAGCCGACGAUCAGUAGCCGACCUGAGAGGGUGACCGGCCACAUUGGGACUGAGACACGGCCCAAACUCCUACGGGAGGCAGCAGUGGGGAAUAUUGCACAAUGGGGGAAACCCUGAUGCAGCGACGCCGCGUGAGCGAUGAAGUAUUUCGGUAUGUAAAGCUCUAUCAGCAGGGAGGAAAAUGACGGUACCUGACUAAGAAGCACCGGCUAAAUACGUGCCAGCAGCCGCGGUAAUACGUAUGGUGCAAGCGUUAUCCGGAUUUACUGGGUGUAAAGGGAGCGUAGACGGAGUGGUAAGUCUAUCUUAAAAGUGCGGGGCUCAACCCCGUGAGGGGAUGGAAACUAUCUUUCUUGAGUGCAGGAGAGGAAAGCGGAAUUCCUAGUGUAGCGGUGAAAUGCGUAGAUAUUAGGAGGAACACCAGUGGCGAAGGCGGCUUUCUGGACUGUAACUGACGCUGAGGCUCGAAAGCGUGGGGAGCGAACAGGAUUAGAUACCCUGGUAGUCCACGCCGUAAACGAUGAAUGCUAGGUGUAGGAGGUAUCGACCCCUUCUGUGCCGGAGUCAACGCAAUAAGCAUUCCGCCUGGGGAGUACGGCCGCAAGGCUGAAACUCAAAGGAAUUGACGGGGGCCCGCACAAGCGGUGGAGUAUGUGGUUUAAUUCGACGCAACGCGAAGAACCUUACCAGGGCUUGACAUUGAGUGAAAGGACAAGAGAUUGUCCCCUCUCUUCGGAGACACGAAAACAGGUGGUGCAUGGCUGUCGUCAGCUCGUGUCGUGAGAUGUUGGGUUAAGCCCCGCAACGAGCGCAACCCCUAUUCUUUGUUGCCAGCACGUUAUGGUGGGAACUCAAAGGAGACUGCCGCGGACAACGCGGAGAAAGGCGGGGAUGACGUCAAGUCAUCAUGCCCCUUAUGUCCUGGGCUACACACGUACUACAAUGGGAUGGACAGAGAGCAGCGAAGCCGCGAGGCCAAGCGAACCCCAUAAACCAUCUCCCAGUUCGGAUUGCAGGCUGCAACCCGCCUGCAUGAAGUUGGAAUCGCUAGUAAUCGCAGGUCAGCAUACUGCGGUGAAUACGUUCCCGGGCCUUGUACACACCGCCCGUCACACCACGGAAGUCAUUCACACCCGAAGCCGGCAGGCUAACCUUUUGGAGGCAGCCGUCUAAGGUGGGGGCGAUGACUGGGGUGAAGUCGUAACAAGGUA
rnacentral:rRNA from 1 species